GAUGAAGAACGCAGCGAAAUGCGAUAAGUAGUGUGAAUUGCAGAAUUCAGUGAAUCAUCGAAUCUUUGAACGCACAUUGCGCCCCUUGGUAUCCCGAGGGGCAUGCCUGUUCGAGCGUCAUUUCACCACUCAAGCCUGGCUUGGUGUUGGGCGACGUCCCCUUUGGGGACGCGCCUCGAAACGCUCGGCGGCGUGGCACCGGCUUUAAGCGUAGCAGAAUCUUUCGCUUUGGAAGUCGGGGCCCCGUCUGCCGGAAGACCUACUCGCAAGGUUGACCUCGGAUCAUGCAGGGAUACCCGCUGAACUUAAGCAUAUCAAUAAGCGGAGGA
rnacentral:misc_RNA from 1 species